GCAGCCGUGGCUCAACCGCUUAGCGCAUUCGGCUGUUAACCGAAAGGUUGGUGGUUCGAGCCCACCCAGAGGCU
rnacentral:tRNA from 1 species